UACAGAGGUGGCAAGCGUUGUUCGGAAUUACUGGGCGUAAAGGGCGCGUAGGCGGUCUUGCAAGUCCUGUGUGAAAUCCCUCGGCUCAACUGAGGAACUGCACAGGAAACUGCUUGGCUUGAGUUCGGGAGAGGGAAGCGGAAUUCCGGGUGUAGCGGUGAAAUGCGUAGAUAUCCGGAGGAACACCGGUGGCGAAGGCGGCUUCCUGGACCGACACUGGACGCUGAGGCGCGAAAGCGUGGGGAGCGAACAGG
rnacentral:rRNA from 1 species